rnacentral:lncRNA from 1 species
ACAAACCAAUCAGAGGGAGCAUUGUAAAGCAAUUAUAACUUGGAGUGGGAUAGUAAUUGAAAUUGGAGUUGAUGAGAAUCAGCAGUAAGAGAUCAUUGUUUUUGAGGCAAAAGAAAAUCAAGAGGAAUAGAAAGAAGAAAAUGAGAAGGAGCUGGAAGAAAAAAAUAAGGAAAAAAAACUAGUUGAAAAUCAAAAGAAGAAACAAAAAAAUAAAAAAAGGAAAAGAAACAAUGAAGAGUCUGCCAAUGCAAACUCCUAUGUAUCCCCA